GACGAACGCUGGCGGCGUGCUUAACACAUGCAAGUCGAACGGUGAAGCGCCUUCCUUUUUGGUGGGAGUGGAUGAGUGGCGAACGGGUGAGUAACACGUGAGUAACCUGCCCCCUUCUUCUGGAUAACCGGAUGAAAGUGUGGCUAAUACGGGAUAUUCUGGGUCUGUUGCAUGAUGGGUCUGGGAAAGAUUUUGUUUCGGUGGGGGAUGGGCUCGCGGCGUAUUAGCUUGUUGGUGGGGUGAUGGCCUACCAAGGCGGCGAUGGGUAGCCGGCCUGAGAGGGGGGUGGGCCGCCCUACAAGGGCGGCGACGCGCCGCAGCCUCCGGGGGGCAGCAGUAGGGAAGAAUCCGGCACAGGGGAAGCCAUGCUGGUGCAGCGACGCGGCGUGAGGGAUGGACGCCGGAGGGUUGUGAACUGCUUUCGGCAGAGAAGAAGUCUGGACGUAUCUGUGCGUGGGUUGACGGUACCUGGUCAAAAAGCCCCGGCUAACUACGUG
rnacentral:rRNA from 1 species